rnacentral:rRNA from 1 species
AUGUGUGUACCUAAAAAUCAAGGAGGGAAGGGAUACUGUGAUAUUCACGGUUUCAACUUAGCGUUGCAUGCUAAACAGGCAUGGCAUCUUCUAGACAAUCUUGAUUCAUUGUGUGCUUCUAUCCUAAGGGCAAAGUAUUACCCCGAUGGUGAUUUGUUGAAUGCUAAGCUAAGGAAAUGCUCCUCCUUUACAUGGCAAAGUAUCAUGGCAGGCACAAAUACUCUGAAACGUGGUUAUAUUUGGCGAGUGGGGAAUGGACAUUAUAUCAAUAUUUGGGAAGAUGCCUGGAUCCCAAACUAUGCCACUAGGAAAAUUGUAACGCCUAAGGGGGGCAUCUGUUAA